ensembl:snoRNA
ACGCAUGUUUUCCAAGGAUCAGAGCUGUGUGCGUAGCUCCUGGUUCUCCAAGAGCAUGCCAGAGGAAAUGGGGGGUCUUUGACUGUCUGGACUGACAUGUCUGGGGCAGCCACUCUACUCUCCAACAUCU